CGUAGCUCAGCUGGUAGAGCAGCGGUUUCGUAAACCGCAGGUCACGGGUUCGAAUCCCGUCGUCG
rnacentral:tRNA from 1 species